rnacentral:lncRNA from 1 species
UCCGCUGCGCUGCGCACUCUGAUUACUUCGAGAACCUGAAAAGGGGAAAUUCGCAUAAAGCGUGAGCCCAACCACUGGCUCAGUAAGAACAUUGGCCUGACGAUACUCACGCCUCUCUCAACGUGUCACUCACGUCCUAUAGGAGCCCUAAAGUCCUCGUCUCUAUGUUCUUUCGUGUAGGGAUAAUCCUAAAGCUUCAACUAUGUCCUCUAUAUUCAAUUUAUUCGUUUGGACCAAGACAGUCAAUCACAAACGUGAAAGCACAUAACAUCACAUACGAAUACACUACUUCUAUUCUUCGAAAUUAAGAACCACGAAGCAUGAAUAUUAUCAUAAAACAUAGUCGAACAUAAAUCUCUACAUAUAACAUAUAAUACUGUUUACCUCAAUCUUGGUAUAUUGGACACACAGUCCUCUUUUCAUAUUAUACGGAUAUAAAAUCCUCAUGUUACUCGCGGACAUAAAGUCUCUGUAGUAUCAAUUAAACACUUCACGCAUAUAAAUGCAAUGCAACAGGAUCCUUAUCGGAAUCCCAACGUGACAAUCUAAACACGAGAUAAUAUACGACAACACACGAGUCACAAAAGCACAUUAUUACACAUAAGUCAUAAAAGCACACUACACCCACAUAAUUCACUUUAUUAUGCACAAUAACUAAAAUGCAUGUGAAUGCAAUGCGUGUUAAAAAUUCAUUUUUCAUUUUGUCGGAUCCGUGAAAGAUUAAUUUCUAUAUUCGGAUAAUAAACCGUUUCGAGCCCGUCUAUGGAUCCAAUAUCACUCAUAUCACUCGUAUCACUCCUCUCAACCCUAGUUGGAUACCGGCCCACCGUAUCCGAUUUGUUUAUUACCCAAACAUUCCAUUAAUCUUCCAAUUUUCAAAACACGUGUUAUGCAUGGACAUGAACACUUAGACCAUAAUCCUAUUACAGUUCAAACACCACAAAUAUGUCAGGAUAAAAUAACACAAAGAUUUACUAACCACAUAUUAUCACAUAGAGUAAUUAAAUCACACAUAAUACACAAAUACAUACACGGCCGUACACACACACACGACAAUGAUAUCCAAUCAAGUGUAGCACAAUAAACACAAAUCACGUAAAGAUUAUUGUUCACCCACACACAUACACAUAUAGUUGUACACAACCCCCACAUAUAUGUAUAAUAGUAUAUUUGAUAUUUACAUAAACCAUGGAUCGGAGUUUCACUCGACGACCACGUAGGUUACUAUAGAGAUAGUAUACAUAUAUAAGCCAUGGAUCGGGAAUUAUUCCUACGACCACGCAGGCCAGGAUAUAUGAAUAUAUAGUCGUUUAUUUAACAUAUAUAUAAAGUAUGAAAUAUAGGAUAUACUAUAUAACAUUAACAAGUUUAAUUGACCAAUAAUCCCACAAGUAAUCUCAACAAUCUUCAAUACUUACACACAUACGGCACACACAUAAUGAAUCUCAAACCAACAUACCGAAUCAAUCGAAACACACAUAAUGACUUAAAUGAAUAAUUCAUGACCAUAACUAUAAUUAAAUUCAACUUAUCAUGUUUUAUUAUCUUAAUAUAAUUUUAAUUCUUCUAUUAACUAAGGAUCAAGAAUUUAAAACCAUACUUUAAACAUACUUUCUAGUUCAAAAUAGUUUAUUUUAGAAAAUCGGACAGUUUUGGUAUUUCAACUUUGAAAAUUCAUAUCUCUUAGAACCUAUAUCCAAAACACCUGAAAAUUUCACAAGUUGUUCAUAUAUAAGUAUAUUAUACCCUGUUAAAACAGUUUAUCAAGAGACUUAACCGUUUAAGAGAAAUAAUUAAUUUAGUGCAGUCACACAGUCAAAUUUCCAGAACAGAGCAAUCAACUUUAAAAUUACCAAAUAAUUCAUACCUUGACCCAAACACUGUGAAAUUUUGCAAAGAAGAAGUUUAGUAAGUAUAUAAUCAUAUUCAAGUAACUCACGUAAAUCAAAUUAGUAUAAAGUCGUAUUAAACACAUAAUGCAUAAAUGACUCAGAAACUGUGCAGUUUCAGAGAACGAUCUAUAACUUAAUCAAUAUAAAUCCGAUUAAGGCAUAAUUGAUAUCAAAAUGAAGCUAACACAAUUAUCUAAACUAUAGUAAACUUUCAUAAUUUUAUCUUAAGUAUUACCCGAUGAGACAUGCAAUACAAACAGAGGCUACGAAUCUGAAUUUCAAUUAGUGUUCAUCAAGAACUUUAUCUUCUAAAGCCCAAAAUUAAAACCACAAACAUAUAAUUCAUUAAAACACAUAUAAUUCAUAUUAAUUAGGUUAUUAUUUCAGUAAAGACCAAUGUCCUUACCCAUGAAAAUCAAAGGCUAAGAAGGAGAAGAAACCAAGGAUCCAUGGAGUUUUAGCUUGGAAGUCUUUGGGCUUGACAUGGGUGGUAUUGGAUUGCUUUGGAGAUGAGUUUUGAGAGAUUAUAUGGUUGUUUCUUUGAGUGUAUUUGAGGAAUCUCGAAUUUAGGGAGAGAGAGGCAUUUUGAGAGGAUUUUAGAAGAGGAAAAGAGAGACUUUUAUGAAGAAUCUUGAAGGUUUGGAAGUGGAAGAUGAAUUCUUCCUUUUGGGGCUGUAUUUGGA